AGUCACAGAAGAUCAGCUGAUUCUGAAGCAAUCAAUGCAAUUGUCAUUAUCAAUGGGUGACUAGAGUCUGACGACAGUAGCAUGACAUCCUAGGAGCAUAAAAAUCCAUUCACUACGGAAGUGGGAGUCAAUGCAUAUACACAAAAUGUGCUGUUUUUUAAAUUAUUCCACUAUUCUCCCAACUGUAUAAACAUAAUCACCUGAAAUUGCAGACUUGAAACUUUUUAUCCUUAAUGAUAAUGUCUGAAGCAGAAAUGACCCAAGCAGAUUUUCAGAAGGUGCAUUAGCAUGGAGUUGUAAAGCCAAGGACAGUAUAAGGGGAAAGUUUGAAUUUUCCAACUAAUGAGCAGUAAUGUAACACAUACUUACCAUUUAACUGGGACUUAAAACUGUUAUUUUCUUUUCUGGACUGGAUUCCCCACAAGAUGACAUUUUAAAAUAAACUUCUUAUUAUGCUUAAUAAGCUUAAAAUAAUAUGCCACCAUUAAUUAAAUCUGGAAGGUAAAUCAGCAUUUUGAUCUUGUCCAAAAUUCUUUAAGAUGAGCCCAAUAAGUUAUUCUUUCUAUAUCUAAUAUUUCAGAUUCAUCCAAAGGAGGAGAGAUGCAUAUAUAAAUAACAAAAAAAGUCAAAGUUAAGUAGUAGGAGAGUACAUUUUCCCUUAAAGUUAUCUUCACAACUUUUGAUACACUAAUAUAUUUAUAGUAGGACUCCUGAAACCAAUUCUAGAAUAUAAUUGGAAUACUACUUCUAAAUAAAAAUGUAGUGCCUUUGUUCUAAUUGUCAUAAUAGAGAAGCCAGUUCAUUAAUUUCUGUAGCAUCUCAGCUGAACCAUGUAACUUUCUCUUAUAACAGCUCUAAAUCUAAUAUCACUUCAUGUUUUUUGAUCACACCCAUGACAUGCGGAAAUUCCUAGGCCAGGUACCGAACCCACACCAAAGCAGCAACCCAAGCUGUUUCAGUGAGAACACCAGAUCCUUUACCCACUGAGCCACAAGAGAACUCCCUCACACAGUUUUAUUUACAUUUUUUGUACUCAUGUUACAUUUUUUAUUUAAAAUAUAUUUUGUGUUUCACACAGAAAACAACAAAGAUUAUCUCCAGUCACUAAGCUACUUGCUUAGGGCUAUCUUUUUGAAUGGGGGCCCUUGUAUUUUUCAGCAGUUAAAAGUUUUUCAUGUUUCUCUCUCAUUUCCUUAGAUAUUCCCACUAAGAAAAAUAGUACUUUACAGGUAUCAUGGACCAGGAAGCAAAACUUCAUCAUCAUUAGAGUGACUCCAAGUGCUAAGAAAGAUAGAUAAAAGUUCACUGUUUCCAUGACAUCCAAAGAAAGAAGUAAACAUUUCUGAUGUUUCCUGCAGAAAACAAGGGAACUUUUGCUUUAGAGAGAGUGACACUUUUAACUGUAGAACUGACACCUGGGUGUUUUUUCUAUCUGUUUUUGGUUUUGUUUUGUUUUUGUUUUUGUUUUUGCUUUUUUAGGGCUGCACCACAGCAUAUGGAAGUUCCCAGGCUAGGGGUCGAGUCAGAGCUACAGCUGCGAAUCUACACCACAACCACAGCAAGGUGGGAUCUGAGCCGCAUCUGUGACCCACAUCACAGCUCACAGCAGUGCCGGAUCUAUAACCCACUGAGCAAGGCCAGGGAUUGAACCUGCAUCCUCACAGAUAUUAGUUGGAUAUGUUUCCAUUCACCACAGUGGGAAUUCUAAUGUGUGAUAUUAUUAACUAUUCUCUUUGUUAAAUAAAACUCAGUGGCCUGUGAAACAUGACUUAAAACUGCUCAUAGCACAAUCUAUCCAACUUAUUUUGAAGUUUUAAAUAAGCAGACCCAAUGGGUAAAACAAACAAUAUUGUAGUUUAAAGUGAGACAGUAAAAUCCCAUUUUCAGGCAGUUUUUCAUGAUAUUACAUAGAUAUUAAAUAUAACUUCGUUUAAAAUACAAUUAAAUUGCUACUACUACGUAUUCAAGGAGGCAACUUUUUUCUAUGCUCUUCGAUGAGAACUCCUGCCACCUGCCUUACCAUCUGAUGGGUGCCUGCAGACCUACUCAGUAUGUUCUCUCAAAGACAGAGAUACUCGGAAUGAAAAUGAUUUCAAAACUUGCCUCCCUAGGGUCAUAAAUAGUCUACCUCUCCUAGGUUCUAGCAGUUGCUUUAAAGGAUUUUAUCAGCCUCAAAAUCAGGGGAAAAUAAAUGGAUAACUCAUAGGAAAAGGUAGAGAAAAUUAGGUAAUUUCCAACCCCAGUUAGAAAGAAACUUCAGGAUCCCUUUGUUCCUGAGCUGGGUUCUUGGACCCUUUAAUUAAUAGAAAUUGAUAAGAGCCAAGACUAGAAAUUCAGGCAAAGCUUUAUGGGGGCUCCUCCUGUAGCACAAGGGAGUAAAAACAAGCAAUGGGUCCCCUUGCUCAUUUCCUGACCAGAGAGUGAGCUGGCUCCUUACUUGGGCUGAGGGUAAGGGCGAGUCCAGGGGCUGGGCAGGAGGGUGACUUGUGUGGUCCGCCCACCCCCUUGGUGGUGCUGUGUGCAGGGUGCUGUGCAGUGCCCUGCUCUUGCUCCUGACACCUUAGAAGUGGCAGUUGGGAUGUUGGUCUUUUUGUAUCCUGUCGAUAAUUUGCCUCAACUGCCCUUGCAUGCAGUUAUUUUUAGUCCCUUAUAGUUUCUUCAUAUUCCAUUUCUCUGGGAGACAUUUACCCUGUUGCAAGCAAUGCAACAAAGUGUCCUAAGUCCCAGGUCCCAGUCCUUCUCACUUUCAUCCCACCCCAUACUUUACAGAUGAAGAACCUCAACUCAGAUGGUGGAGUGACUCUCUGAACUAAUUAGUGGAUGCAAAAAAAAAAAAAAAAAAAAAAAAA
rnacentral:lncRNA from 1 species